rnacentral:rRNA from 1 species
AGACAGCAGCAGCCGCGGUAAUACGGAGGAUCCAAGCGUUAUCCGGAAUCAUUGGGUUUAAAGGGUCCGCAGGCGGUUUAGUAAGUCAGUGGUGAAAGCCCAUCGCUCAACGGUGGAACGGCCAUUGAUACUGCUGAACUUGAAUUAUUAGGAAGUAACUAGAAUAUGUAGUGUAGCGGUGAAAUGCUUAGAGAUUACAUGGAAUACCAAUUGCGAAGGCAGGUUACUACUAAUUGAUUGACGCUGAUGGACGAAAGCUAGGGGAGCAAAUGGGAUUAGAUACCCCAGUAGUCCCUGUCUCUUAUAC